rnacentral:ncRNA from 2 species
AGAGUAGAUAGAGGUUGCGGUUUUUAAGAGUAGAUUUGCUGAGCUAAGCACGAUGAAGCAUUUUAAAAGGAGAAGCCGCCGAAAUGGAUAGUUGAUGCUUUAAGACUAUCUUGUUGGGGUUAUGUAGAAUAUACAUAACACUGUCACGUAGUUAUUCGUGGGGAGCUAUCAUGACG